rnacentral:rRNA from 1 species
CCUACGGGAGGCAGCAGUGAGGAAUAUUGGACAAUGGGCGCAAGCCUGAUCCAGCCAUGCCGCGUGCAGGAUGACGGUCCUAUGGAUUGUAAACUGCUUUUAUACAGGAAGAAACACUACUUCGUGAAGUAGCUUGACGGUAUCGUAAGAAUAAGGAUCGGCUAACUCCGUGCCAGCAGCCGCGGUAAUACGGAGGAUCCAAGCGUUAUCCGGAAUCAUUGGGUUUAAAGGGUCCGUAGGCGGUUUAAUAAGUCAGUGGUGAAAGCCCAUCGCUCAACGGUGGAACGGCCAUUGAUACUGUUAGACUUGAAUUAUUAGGAAGUAACUAGAAUAUGUAGUGUAGCGGUGAAAUGCUUAGAGAUUACAUGGAAUACCAAUUGCGAAGGCAGGUUACUACUAAUUGAUUGACGCUGAUGGACGAAAGCGUGGGUAGCGAAC